GACGAACGCUGGCGGCGUGCCUAAUACAUGCAAGUAGAACGCUGAAGAGAGGAGCUUGCUCUUCUUGGAUGAGUUGCGAACGGGUGAGUAACGCGUAGGUAACCUGCCUUGUAGCGGGGGAUAACUAUUGGAAACGAUAGCUAAUACCGCAUAACAAUGGAUGACACAUGUCAUUUAUUUGAAAGGGGCAAUUGCUCCACUACAAGAUGGACCUGCGUUGUAUUAGCUAGUAGGUGAGGUAACGGCUCACCUAGGCGACGAUACAUAGCCGACCUGAGAGGGUGAUCGGCCACACUGGGACUGAGACACGGCCCAGACUCCUACGGGAGGCGGCAGUAGGGAAUCUUCGGCAAUGGGGGCAACCCUGACCGAGCAACGCCGCGUGAGUGAAGAAGGUUUUCGGAUCGUGAAGCUCUGUUGUAAGUCAAGAACGAGUGUGAGAGUGGAAAGUUCACACUGUGACGGUAGCUUACCAGAAAGGGACGGCUAACUACGUGCCAGCAGCCGCGGUAAUACGUAGGUCCCGAGCGUUGUCCGGAUUUAUUGGGCGUAAAGCGAGCGCAGGCGGUUUGAUAAGUCUGAAGUUAAAGGCUGUGGCUCAACCAUAGUUCGCUUUGGAAACUGUCAAACUUGAGUGCAGAAGGGGAGAGGGGAAUUCCAUGUGUAGCGGUGAAAUGCGUAGAUAUAUGGAGGAACACCGGUGGCGAAAGCGGCUCUCUGGUCUGUAACUGACGCUGAGGCUCGAAAGCGUGGGGAGCGAACAGGAUUAGAUACCCUGGUAGUCCACGCCGUAAACGAUGAGUGCUAGGUGUUGGAUCCUUUCCGGGAUUCAGUGCCGCAGCUAACGCAUUAAGCACUCCGCCUGGGGAGUACGACCGCAAGGUUGAAACUCAAAGGAAUUGACGGGGGCCCGCACAAGCGGUGGAGCAUGUGGUUUAAUUCGAAGCAACGCGAAGAACCUUACCAGGUCUUGACAUCCCGAUGCUAUUUCUAGAGAUAGAAAGUUACUUCGGUACAUCGGUGACAGGUGGUGCAUGGUUGUCGUCAGCUCGUGUCGUGAGAUGUUGGGUUAAGUCCCGCAACGAGCGCAACCCCUAUUGUUAGUUGCCAUCAUUCAGUUGGGCACUCUAGCGAGACUGCCGGUAAUAAACCGGAGGAAGGUGGGGAUGACGUCAAAUCAUCAUGCCCCUUAUGACCUGGGCUACACACGUGCUACAAUGGUUGGUACAACGAGUUGCGAGUCGGUGACGGCAAGCUAAUCUCUUAAAGCCAAUCUCAGUUCGGAUUGUAGGCUGCAACUCGCCUACAUGAAGUCGGAAUCGCUAGUAAUCGCGGAUCAGCACGCCGCGGUGAAUACGUUCCCGGGCCU
rnacentral:rRNA from 1 species